rnacentral:rRNA from 1 species
UGUGGGUAUCUGCCCUUUGGCCUGGAAUAACACGAGGAAACUUGUGCUAAUACCGGAUAAGUCUUUACGGAGAAAGCUUUAUGCACCAUUGGAUGAGCCCGCACUUGAUUAGUUUGUUGGUGGGGUAAUGGCCUACCAAGACUGUGAUCAAUAGCUGAUUUGAGAGGAUGAUCAGCCACAUUGGGACUGAGACACGGCCCAAACUCCUACGGGAGGCAGCAGUGGGGAAUCUUGCACAAUGGAGGAAACUCUGAUGCAGCGAUGCCGCGUGAGUGAAGAAGGCCCUUGGGUUGUAAAGCUCUUUCGUCGGGGAAGAAAAUGACUGUACCCGAAUAAGAAGGUCCGGCUAACUUCGUGCCAGCAGCCGCGGUAAUACGAAGGGACCUAGCGUAGUUCGGAAUUACUGGGCUUAAAGAGUUCGUAGGUGGUUGAAAAAGUUAGUGGUGAAAUCCCAGAGCUUAACUCUGGAACUGCCAUUAAAACUUUUCAGCUAGAGUAUGAUAGAGGAA